AAGGCCGCCGGCCUGCCCGGCAGCCAGUGUUUCCUGGUCUGUCGGGAGGCCUUUGGUGUCGCCGCCGCUCUCACCAUGGCUUGGGUCCAAACUGCGCCACAACCUCUAGGGAGACGUGGGUCCUCGGAGCCACUUUAGUGUCGGACUUGGGGCUGCAGGCAGCUCAGCGGCGGCAGCAGGAGAACAGAAUCUCUGGAUGGACCUUUCCUGGGAAGUUUUGCUAAUUUGCAGCAGCUGGACAAUGUUCCUCAUUAACAUCUGUUUGUCAGCGUAACCGUCACAUAAUUUCACUGUGGGAUUCAGCUCGGAAUUCUUUAUAGAAAACACCUGGAUCCUAGUCUUUCAAUGGCUUCAAGACAACCAGAAGUACCUGCUCUUGAGCCCAGUGGGCCUCUAGACAAGAUGUCCCUGCCCAUCGGGAUAUACCGCAGGGCAUUGAGCUAUGAUGAUGCCCUUGAGGACCCUGCGCCCAUGACUCCUCCUCCAUCCGACAUGGGCAGCAUCCCCUGGAAGCCAGUGAUUCCAGAGCGCAAGUAUCAGCACCUCGCCAAGGUGGAGGAAGGCGAGGCCAGUGUAUCCUCCCCUGCUAUGACUCUGUCAUCAGCCAUUGACAGUACGGAUAAGAUCCCAGUGGUGAAGGCUAAAGCUACCCAUGUCAUCAUGAAUUCUUUGAUCACAAAAACUAAAGCUACAGAGUGGAGAGAGAACAAAAGAAGAGAAGCAGCCUGUGUCAGCCCAGUCCACCCCAAGCAGCACCCCUCAUUCUUCACCCAAGCAUAGGCCCAGAGGCUGGUUUACUUCUGGUUCUCCCACAGCUUUACCUGGCCCAGAUCCUAGCACCAUGGAUUCUGGAAGUGGGGAUAAGGACAGAAACCCAUCAGAUAAAUGGAGCUUCUUUGGACCAAGAUCCCUCCAGAAGUAUGAUUCAGGAAGUUUUGCCACCCAGGCCUACCAAGGAGCCCAGAAACCCUCUGCAAUGGAACUGAUCCGAGCACAGGCCACUAGGAUGGCUGAAGAUCCAGCAACCUUCAAGCCACCCAAGAUGGACAUCCCAGUGAUAGAAGGGAAGAAACAACCCCCACGGACUCAUAAUCUCAAACCCCGUGACUUGAAUGUGCUCACACCCACAGGCUUCUAAAGCUCUUUCUGUUCCAGGGAUUCUAGAGCCCCUCUUCCCUUUUACCUUGGCUCUGACAUAGGAAAGGUAUAUUAAAAAAAAAAAAAAAAAUCUCUUAAACUGAGGCUACACCUGAAGACAUAAUUGGUUUUUGAGAAACAGUAGUGCAGAGUUUGCCCUUGCUGUGUGGAAGAAGCCAUUUUGUACUGCUUUAAAGUUAGGUUAAAUCUCAGCACUUGUGCAUGGGGACUUCAUGAUCUAUUUUUGUAUUAUUUACCCUAGAUAAGACUGUGAUUGUUGCUUACUGAGAUAGUGUUUGUGCUGCUCUAAAAACACAGGCUUCUUGAUCCUUUUACCACCGUCAAUGUGAGCACUGACAAAUCAUGGCAUAGAGAUGCUCACUGACUAGUUCAGACAACUUUAGGCCUCUUGACUGCUGGUGCUGUGUUCCAGCCUUGUCAGGUAGGUGGGCCUAAUAUCUGUUUGAGACCUGGGUACAGUAAAAAGCUAGACUUGGCUCUUUCCAGGCUGAAACUGGAGCCAUCUUGCAUUUUGGUAGAUCUAAUAGACACUUUGUCCUACAGCCACUUCUUCAUGUGGUACCUCCUGGGCCAGUGCUAUUGGAGGAAAGUUUCUUUUUUAUGCCACAAAACACUAGUCUUGCAUAUGCUUUCUUAUACUUUAAUGUGAGAUUAAUUCCAGUUUGGUUGAAAAUUUUCUAAGGGAGAAAAUUCAGUCUACUGAUUUGAUAAAUGGAUGUUAAGAUGGUAACUAUAAUUAGUCUUGAGUUCAUAUGAAAGUAGUAUCACCUUAUUUUGAUUUCCUUGUUCAUCAUCAGGUCAGAGCCUAAAACUUUUUUGGGGCGGGGGUGGUUAGAGAUGGAAGAAUUGAAAAUUCUUUGUAUGAAAGCAUUUGUCACCAAAAUGAACCUCAUACCUUUAUGUAGUGUAUACCUUACUGGGGAAAGGAAAUAGGGAAACCGCCUUUUUAUUUCUCCUCACUGUGUACAUGUUCAGUCACUGUCUUGAACACUGUCUCACACUUGAUUUGGAUAGUAUUUUAUCAGUACAUAAGGAGCUGACCUUUCCAUAGAGAUGUCCUGGAGUCUCAAAUUAUCAGAACAAUUAAUUUAUUUGUGUCUUUUGUCUCUUAUUUUGACAAUAAAAAUCCUUAUGACUUUCUCAAAAAAAAAA